rnacentral:lncRNA from 1 species
AAAAAUAACAUACAAAAACAAGAGGAUUUGCUACUGCUGAGUUUGCAGUAACCUCUGUUCUGUUUGCUUCAAAGUUGAGACCAAAGAAAACAAAUUUUCAAGAAUAUAAAUGAUGGAUCCAGUUCUUUUUAUUAUACAAUUCUUGGUAUUACAAAAUUAUUUAUGAACUUCUUCGUCCUCUUAGUUGUAACCAAAGAUGAAUGAGCAUAUGCUUGAACAAUUGUUCAUUUACUAGUGAAUAUUAGUCAUACUCAACGAUAAAAAAUGGUAAACAUGCAUAAAAACAUCCCAGUGUUAGGAGUUAUAAAAUAAAAAACCAUCACAAAAAUCAUGGAGAGAGAUCAUCCACAGUGGCAAGGCUAGGUUUCCAUCCCAAACCCUUAUAUAAUCUUGCCUUUGGAAGUGGUGGCACAAAAGGUUUCUUUCCUUUGAUUCCUUUUCUUCUUGAAUAUCUUGUUGACUUAGAACUACCCUUUGAAACAUAAAACUCCUUUGCAGAGAAAUAAUAUUCCUCUACAUCUUCUCUACCUUGAGAUUGAUCCAUCUUUGCAUUCACUCUUUCUUCAUGAGGAAAAUGGAAAUGCUAUUAGAGCCUUAUAUAUAAUAUAGGUUGUUUGCUUCAUAUGACCAGCUGUAUAUGACUUGAUAUUUUCACCACCCCCCCAAUAAAACAAUGAUGAAACCAAGGUUUGCAAAGGCUUGGCCCAUUUGUUCUUUGCUUCAGUUUCUGUAGAGUGAGAAACAAGAGUUUUCCUUCACAAGAUAAGAAACUCUUCCUCAAAAUUAACGUUAGAAAUUAAUGUCAAAGAGGUAUCAGUUCAGUGAUAAGAGUUUGACUUUGAAACCUCAAGAGAAAGAGUUCAAAUCUCAACCGGAACACUUGUCAAAUGGCAAUUAGGGCUACCACUAUUAAUAAUAAUUUGUCUUUUCCCAUUUUUUUGUUUUUAAAAAGGUGAUAGUUUGAUGUUGUGUCAACUUUGCAGGUAUAUUGUUGUGUUGAAGACAAAAUGCACAUGACCUGUGAAGCAGAAAGAAUUGCACAGUAAACUUUUGGUUGGUUCAUGUCAUCCAUGUAUAUAUUCUUGAUCAAGGGAAAAAAACAAAAUGUGGAUGAAUUUCAGCUGUCAGAUGCUAUAGAAUAAGCAUCUUUUUUGGUCAAAACAUAGUGGCACUUUGAGACUACAUAGGUUUGCACCUACAAAUAAAGAGACAAUAGAUCCUAUGGAUUUCUGAAAUCUAAAUUAUAAUUUGAGAGGUUAUUGUAGGCACAAUCUAUUCCAACAAAUUUUAAUAACUGUAAAAACAAUACAAAAAUUGUUGCAUUAAUUUUUUUUCAAC